GAUGAACGCUGGCGGCGUGCCUAAUACAUGCAAGUCGAGCGAACGGACGAGAAGCUUGCUUCUCUGAUGUUAGCGGCGGACGUGUGAGUAACACGUGUAUAACCUACCUAUAAGACUGGGAUAACUUCGGGAAACCGGAGCUAAUACCGGAUAAUAUUUUGAACCGCAUGGUUCAAAAGUGAAAGACGGUCUUGCUGUCACUUAUAGAUGGAUCCGCGCUGCAUUAGCUAGUUGGUAAGGUAACGGCUUACCAAGGCAACGAUGCAUAGCCGACCUGAGAGGGUGAUCGGCCACACUGGAACUGAGACACGGUCCAGACUCCUACGGGAGGCAGCAGUAGGGAAUCUUCCGCAAUGGGCGAAAGCCUGACGGAGCAACGCCGCGUGAGUGAUGAAGGUCUUCGGAUCGUAAAACUCUGUUAUUAGGGAAGAACAUAUGUGUAAGUAACUGUGCACAUCUUGACGGUACCUAAUCAGAAAGCCACGGCUAACUACGUG
rnacentral:rRNA from 1 species